UUGGAAGUAGGUGACAUGUAUCAUCAUUAGUCUUUUGGAAUGCUGAAAAGUCAUCAUACUGGUCAUUAUUAAGUAUAAUAGUAUUCCUACGUAGCUAUAUACCAUAUUUUGUUAAUCCAUUCUCCAAUUUAUGGGCACCCCUCAUAUUUCAGUUCUUUAGGUAUUAUUACUUGUAAUCUUUUGAUAACUCCUCUAUAAUAUUUUGGGCUAGGCGAAUUAGAUUACCCAUUAUCCGAGGAAAUAUCCCUUAUGGAGAAGUGGCUAAUCAUGUCCACCAACUGCCACCAAGUGUCACCGGGAAGCAGAUAAGUGGGUGGCAAGAUUGCUGGAGAGGCUAAUUAAAUUACCCAUUAUUUGAGGAAAUAUCCCUUAUGGACAAGGGGCUAACCAUGUCUACCAACUGCCACCAACUGUCACCUGGAGACAGACAAGUAAAUGACAAGAUUGCUGAGAGGGAGGGGGUAACAUUGCCCAGGGAAGUCAAGGCAGCACCAGCUCCCUUCAGACUUCAAUGAAGAUGAAAGACCCUGAACCCAGUUGCUCUGGAAUAGCUGUCUCUUUUCCUUUCCCCAAGAGAAUCAGCUCUGCUUUCAGCCUAGGUCUCAUGGCCAUCUUGGAGGGGCUCAAUCACUUUAGGGAAGGGGCCUACAUUCCUCACUACCACCAAUAACCAUUAGCUAACUGCCACCAACUGCCAGGUGAAUUAGGGUUGAGACAAAACAAACUAGGAUUUGACUCUGGAAGACUCAGAGAGAUGGAAGAAUUGUCAGAGGUGCUGACACUGAGCCAUCCCAAAGGAGAGAUCUCUUGGAUCCAUUUCAAAAGUGGAUUGACUGAAGCUGUGCCCUGAGGCAAAGGAUUGAUUGACUGUUCCAUCAGCUGUGCAGAACCUUUGAAAUGUAUUCUUCGCAAAUGAAUAACUGAAGAAACAGAUGAAUGAAUGGAAUGUCCAGAAGCAGGUGGAAUCAUAUGUUGGCGAGGUUUCCUUUAUAGAUGCAUGCUGCUUUUAUAUAUAUUCCAAGAAUCUCAUGAAUUUGGAAUCUUUUAGCUUUGGCAGUUAAAUGUGCUAGCAGAUCAUAUCCCAUUCUGCACACUUACACCUUUUAUUUAUUUUUAACAGUAUACAUUUUUUUUAACAGUAAACAUUUAUUAAGCAUAUAGAAUCAUAUGUUUUUUUUUUUUUUUUGGACCUCUGAUUUCAUUGGCAUAGAGAGGGCUUUCCAAUGGAAGGACCAUCUUAACCAAAGUAAUUUAGCACUUGCUUUGUAAUUUAGAGUCUUAGUAAGUUGCUUGGGACACUGAGGCGUUUAAAUGGCCUGCUUGGGGGGAAAGUGGGUUUCAGAAGCAUGACUUCAAGUAAUUCAGUUCUCAACCUGACUCCAAAGUUGACUCUAUUAACUAUGUUGCCUUUGGCUGCCUCUGAUUGGGAAAAUUGUAGCUCAAAGACAAAUAUUCGUAUUUUUAAUCAGAAGGAAAUUAGAAUAAUCAGAUAUCUGCUUGGCAAUAACAAUUUAGCUUUAAUAAUUUCUAACAUUAAGUCAUACAUACUAUAGCUGAGUGGAGAAUACUUAUGCAGAAGGGAGAGGAACAAGGUUAAGGUUCAUGAGAGGAAGGAGACACACCCACAAAUAAAAUGUUGGUGUCAGAUGUUUUGGGGGUAGUUUGUAGGGAAAGAUGGGACAGAGGAAUAAGGAAGUCAUGCCAUGGGUCUAUUCUGCCUCCAUUAUGUUCGGGCACUCCUAGUGAGAAGAAAAGAAACAAGAAAGUUUCUGAGUAUCUCAGCAGAAAUUGCUGAGAAGAAAAAAAUGAAAUUGCUCCAGGCACUCAAGGAGAAUUUAUUAAGUAUUUUUUGAAUUCCUCUUUAAGGAGAGCAAAGGAAAAAUGACAUGAAAUUUCCUUUAAGCAAGAAGCAGCAAUAGCUAGGGAGAGAAAAUGGGAAAAACCCCAUCCCAUAUACUUAUACAUAUAUAAUGUCUCCUUUUCUUUUUUUUAACUUAACCAGUAUUCUUUCAUAUCACUUUUGAAAAUUGGGGGGGGGGGAGAAAUAACCCAAAUAGGCUUCAUUAAACAAAACAAAUUCCCUCAAUGGCUUUGUGUUAAAAUGUGUAUACCCAAUUUGCAUUUUGAGUCUAUAUCCCUUUGUUAGGAAGUGGGUAGAAGACUCCAUCAUUGGUCAUCUGGAAUCUAUUUGUUUCUCUGUCUCUGUCUUUGAAAUGGAAGAACAUAUUUCACCACCACUACUUAAUCUGCAAUGGAAGGGAUUUAUAUAAUAGUAUUAUUCUUUCCUCCAGCAUGGGAUAGAGACUGGGCUUGUGAUUUCAUUGGUGUAGGGAACUUUCCAUGAAGAAACUUCCCUUGGAGUAGCUAGAUGGUAAUGGUAGAGAACUGGGCCUGGAAUCAGGAAGACCUGAGUUCAAAUCUUACUUCAGACACUCAACACUUCCUCUUCAAGGACCAGUAUUAUUCACUAUAGAAGUUCAGGGAGUAGGAUGGUACCUUAGGAAACUGAUUUACUAUAGAUUGUAUUCUGCUGAGUUUUGGCCUGUGAAUCACAGAAUCAUUCUGCAUUGCUUUUUUUUUUUUUUUUUUGGAACUACUCUUAAUAUUUCUUUAAUGUUGGAUAAAGUUUGGUUCAAGAAUUGUCAAUUCAUAUUCUAUGUCUUUACACUAAUCAAGCAGAGUCAUGCAUAGCUUAAUGACUAGUCAAGUUGGUGUUGGGGUAAUGGUGGGCACUACUCCUUUCAAAAGAAGAAAAACUUUUGUUUUUGUUGUUUCCCUCCCCCCUACCCCCCCCCCCCAUAAAAGCUUGACCAUAUUCCUUUGUGGAGUAGUACUUCUCUAUACCUUCCUAUAUAUCUACUUUAGACAGUUUUACUAUUCAGAUAUGGCAACAGAAUCAUUAUUAUAACUUCCAUAUGUCUUUUUUGUUUUCUAAUCUAAGAAAGGAGAAAUGAUUAGCUAUAUAUGCAGCCACCAAGAAAUGGUAAAUACAUAACGUCAAGAGAGGCCUAUGAGAUGUAAGUUUAAUUAUAUGGAUUAAUUUCAAGCAUGAAGAGCUUUCAUUAAUAGAUGGAAUAUCAUCCUUUAUCAGGAAAGAUUCAAAAGGUGGUGAGAAGCCUUUAUUAGAUGCUGGAAAUAAAAGUUCUGGGUAAAGUGAUGAAGCAGGAACAAUCUUAGCUAGAUAAGAUGACAUUCCCCGAGCAUGUUACCUGGGCCUCUGACAGUCCAUAUCUCUGUUGCUGUGGUCUCUGUGGUUAGCACAGUCAGGCUGCUUGAAUUUCUCCCUCAUCUUUCUCCUCUUUCCACAUUCCCUUCUUAUUCCACUUGUUUCUUAUGGAGUAGAAAUUAACAAGAUGCCAUUUAGACCAUUUAGACCGAGUUUUAGGAUGUCUUUGAGGAGCACUCCUGUCAAACAGCCUGCCACAUAUGUGUCUUGCUAGGGAUGGACUCCAAUGGACUCAAAUUCCUUAGUGUCACACACAGAAGACAUAUUUGGGAGGGUAUUGUUAUGUGGAAGCCUGAAGUCCUAAUGGCUUUGUGAAUUGCUUCCAGAAUCUGUGAAUUACAUCAUAACAGAUUUAGACUCAGAAAGGGAUUUUUAGAGGUAAUCAUCUUAGGCCAGCCUCACUUUGUACAAGCACAUGACUCAGAGAGGUUACAUGACUCUCCCAACCAAUAAGGUUGUCAAAGAAUAGGGGGAAAAAAAGAAAAAAGAAAGGAAAAGAAUUAUUGAAGCAUUUUUUAAAUGCAUAGAAAAAAAGGGAAAGUCAGAAUGAAACAUAAACAGGACAGCUUUGAAAUUUGCAUGAAAUCCUUCAGUGGAAGAAUGGUGAGAAAAUACAAGCUAUUUCCAGAAGCAUCCCUGGUCCAGUUGCCUCCAAAAGAUUUUUGUCAUCAAUCCAAGUUUGUGCUGUUACCAUGUCCUCCUCAUAGGAUAGCACCAUUGUGGGAUCGAGGUCACCCAUCCAGGGCUCAGCAGGGAUCAUUCAAACAGCAGGCCCCAGCCACCAGAUCAUCACCCCUACCUUACCGGAGAGCUGCAUCUGCACAGUUACCCUGCCCCCGUGAAUACCAGUACCACCUCCACCACCAUCUUUGCCACAGAUCAACAGCAAUACCAUUAUCUGAUUUAAAGAAUUACAAACCAUCUUCAUGCCCUACACAAAAUUCUAGUACCUCAGUGUCACAUUUACCUUGCUCUUAUUUCAAGGCAAGGUCAGAUGCCAUAGCUGCUAAAUCUUCUGAUUCUGAAACUCUUCUGGACCCUGAUCACAAUCCUGAGGAUUCACUGAACCCUUGUUUUUGGGCACAGACUCCUUCAGUCAUUGACUACAUUCCCAAGAUUUUAAAGAGCCAUGGCCAUUCAGGGCUACCAUACUUCAGCCAUCAGCUUCCACCUUCAUUUCUGUCUCUCCCCUUCCACCUAUGUCCAUCACCAUCAUCUAUGUCUUCACCACCUAAGUCUUCUCCACCACUACAACCAUCAUCCCCCCCAAAGCAGCCUCAGUCUCAGCUUCAGUCCCAACCUCAGUCUCCACCUUUAUGUUAUCAUUUACCUUUGCCUCAACCUGUACCUCCAAAGCCAUCUUUCACUGAUCGGAGGGUCAAGAAACAGGCAAAACUUCCUGCUCAUGUAGAACGUAGGGCCAAGACAGCAUCUUUAAUAACUUCAUUGCACCCAAUUUGUCCCCAAAGUGCCUCAGUUGUGCGAGGAAGCCACCCUAAAGCCCCACCAGCUCAAGGGCAUCAAAUGAAGACUUCUGCCCUUGUAGGAUGUCUCCACCUACAACGUAAAGGCAGGAUUUUGUCACCUUCACCUGAACAUCAUUCUAGGCUCACAGCUUUGAAAACAACCAACUUGUCCAAGAACAAAACUUCCAAGGCAUAACAUCCUGACCCUUUUCCUGAGGAUACAACUACAAUGUUAGGAUUCUUAGACCAUACUUAUGGGCUUCAAAAUCAGACACAAGUGACAAAGAUGCAUAGAAGAGCAAUCCCUUCAUGCUUCAUCACUGCAUCUUCGUUACUUCACAAAUACUAUACCAGGGUCACAAAUGUAUGUGCACCAUACUCCAUCUACUGUGUUCUAGAUAGGCACAGGUCAUCUAAUCAUCUUACCAUCAGGGUAGAGCAGCAGCUAUACCACCACCAGUUUGAACCAUGGAACCUUUUAAUUAUUAGUAUCUAUCUAUGCCUGGAAUAUAGGGCCAAGGUUAACUUGACACUUUUCAUAGUUUCAUUUCGUAAUGGUUAAGGCUCCACUAUGCCCUGAUUAUAAUGCCAACUAUAAAACUGAGCCAUAACAAUACCCUGAUCACCAAGUUGUACCUCAACUAGUUCUGACCAUUGAACUGAAAUUUUCAUGGAGUUCAACCACCAAACCCUAAUAACAUCAAUAUACUCGGGCAUUUGGCUUGAAGCAAUUGCCGUCUCAAAAGCCCAAGCCAUAACAUUAACUCGAGUCUAAAUAGGGUUUUGAGCAAUGCAAGGCUUUGCUGAGUCUAGAUAAUGGGGGAAGGGACCUGUUACUUUGAUAUUACCCUAUUUAUUAAUUUUAUCAACACAACUCAUUUGGACAUAGGCCAAAAAACUGAGCUUGCUCUGGACACUAAAAAAUGAGGCCAUAUAAAAAAUGGGGCUGGGAAGUUGGGCAAAGAAUUCCUUUUGUUUUGGUGACUAGAACUGUUCUUUCACUGAGUCCCCCACAUUAGAUUCAGACUGGUUGGGACAGUGACUCAGGCCAUAUCUCUAUGAGGCUUGGAUGGACUGGAGAGGCUUUAUAGAGUCCCAAUUGCCAGAGUACAGUGAUACAGUGCCAGGACUGCCAUGCCACACCUUUACUAGGUCCUAAACAUUUGGACAAAUUGCCACGAGAAUUAGGCCAGCAAGCUGAGAGUAUUCAGGAUUCUGUCUUCUGGAUGUUGUCUUCACUAGAUUCUGAGCAUCAAGUUAAAGAGUCCUUUGAACUACCAAUUCUCAGAAUGCAGAUUCACUGGACCGGGAUUACUGGAACAAGGCUGCAUAGGGUCAUUCAGGCCACAAAGCUCUGCCCUUCCCAGGCCAAGAUUUAAAUAAAGACCAUACCUAACACCAAGUGUUCUGCACAGCCGACAGAUAUUUCUCCAGGCUUAGAUGUACUCUAGUUCACAUUUCCUGAAUCACCAAGAUAUUUAAUAGGUCUUGAGUAUGAGGGUGGGUUGUUUUGAUCGAC
rnacentral:lncRNA from 1 species